GAUGAACGCUGGCGGCGUGCCUAAUACAUGCAAGUCGAGCGAACAGAUGAGGAGCUUGCUCCUCUGACGUUAGCGGCGGACGGGUGAGUAACACGUGGAUAACCUACCUAUAAGACUGGGAUAACUUCGGGAAACCGGAGCUAAUACCGGAUAAUAUAUUGAACCGCAUGGUUCAAUAGUGAAAGACGGUUUUGCUGUCACUUAUAGAUGGAUCCGCGCCGCAUUAGCUAGUUGGUAAGGUAACGGCUUACCAAGGCAACGAUGCGUAGCCGACCUGAGAGGGUGAUCGGCCACACUGGAACUGAGACACGGUCCAGACUCCUACGGGAGGCAGCAGUAGGGAAUCUUCCGCAAUGGGCGAAAGCCUGACGGAGCAACGCCGCGUGAGUGAUGAAGGUCUUCGGAUCGUAAAACUCUGUUAUUAGGGAGGAACAAAUGUGUAAGUAACUAUGCACGUCUUGACGGUACCUAAUCAGAAAGCCACGGCUAACUACGUG
rnacentral:rRNA from 1 species